GACGAACGCUGGCGGCGUGCUUAACACAUGCAAGUCGAACGGAAAGGCCCUGCUUUUGUGGGGUGCUCGAGUGGCGAACGGGUGAGUAACACGUGAGUAACCUGCCCUUGACUUUGGGAUAACUUCAGGAAACUGGGGCUAAUACCGGAUAGGAGCUCCUGCUGCAUGGUGGGGGUUGGAAAGUUUCGGCGGUUGGGGAUGGACUCGCGGCUUAUCAGCUUAUUGGGGGGGUAGUGGCUUACCAAGGCUUUGACGGGUAGCCGGCCUGAGAGGGUGACCGGCCACAUUGGGACUGAGUUACGGCCCAGACUCCUACGGGAGGCAGCAGUGGGGAAUAUUGCACAAUGGGCGGAAGCCUGAGGCAGCAACGCCGCGUGCGGGAUGACGGCCUUCGGGUGGUAAACCGCUUUCGCCUGGGACGAAGCGUUAGUGACGGUAAUGGGUAAAGAAGCACCGGCUAACUACGUG
rnacentral:rRNA from 1 species